rnacentral:lncRNA from 1 species
AAACGAGAAAGGAGAAAACCAACCAAGCUUGAAUAUGGCCUGCUCUUGCUGAAAUGUAGUCAACAUUUUCUAGCAUUCACCAAGAAGGGGGAUGAUGGAAUCUGGUCCCAAAAGAAAACUUUCAGGAUCAAGGUGCAGAACAGAACUAGGAAAGCCAUGUCACCCAUCCAAAGGCCCCUGGUUAUUGAGCAGUCUAUUUGAGACCUUGGAUUCUUGGGACCUAGACCGGUGGGUCAAUGUGUAAGAAUGUUUAGAGUACAAGCAUAAAGACUCCAGUUUGGAUCUCCACAAACCACAUAUAAGCCAGGCCAAGAGGUGUGCAAAUCCGCAACCCCAGCCUGUCCCUAUGGAGAAGUGGGAGGUGAAGACAGGAGAGUUAAUAAAAGCUUCUGACCAACUAGCCCAGUAAAUACAGCUGUGGACAAGAAGAGGAGCCCGGUCUCAGAAAGCAAAGUGAAGGCUGGAGAGAUGGCUCAGUGGGUAAGAGCACCGACUGCUCUUCCAGAGGACCUGAGUUCAAAUCCCAGUAACCACAUGGUGGCUUACAACCAUCUGUAAUGAAGCUGGUGCCCCCUUCUGGCCUGCAGGCAGAAUACCUACACAUAUUAAAGAGAACACUCUGCACAUAUACAUUAUAAAUAAUAAAUAAAUAAAUAAAUAAAUAAAACCAACAGUAGCAAUAACAAAAAAGCAAAGUGAAAGGUAAGGAGUGACCCCUGAGGGUGUCCUCUGACUGUCACACAUGCACUGUGGCAGGUCUGUGCCCACAUUCAAGCACUCAUAACCACAUACUUCACAUAUGCUCACAUACAUGCACAAAGACCUUGGGUUCUCAAGGGCUGAUUUAGUAACUGUCUCCCCCCACUCCCCACCGUGUGUGUCUGUGUGUUUGCCUGUCGGUGUGUCCAUGGGUACACAUGUUCCUAGGCGUGUGCAGAAAACACGGGGUAACAUCGGAGACCUUGCUCUAUUACUCUUGGCCUUGAGACGGGUUUUCCAUGUAACCUAGGGUCAGCAGUCCCCGAGAACCUCCUGCUUCCACACACACCCAGGCAUAAGCCACAUUCAGCUGUUUGCACUAACUUGGGUAGGGGAUUCAAACUCAGGUCCUCAUGCUUGUGCGGCAAACCCUCUUACCCUCUGAGCCAUCCCUUCCAUACAAGAGUUGAUUUGGGGGAAUAAGAAGACAGGUGACUGAGAUAUAAAAUGGCAUGACCCUGCCUCAGCUCCUGCCACAGUAGGCAGGAGUUGUGGUUCAAAUGAAGAAAUGAAGUAGUCUGAAAGGAAUGUAGGGAAAUCCAACUGGCCCCAGCCCACGUGACCCGUAGGGAGACACUCACUGGUUGAAGCAAUGGGCAGCAGUCAACACCCAGUCCUCAGCAAUCAGAGAGCCCCCACACACGUGUGCCCCACUCUCCCUCACGCUGACCUGCCAAGGCCACUGGCCCAGCUGGGCAUCAUGUCCUGACACGAUGCGGCCUGAUGUCCUGGGACGUCCACACACUGCAAGGAAUCGGUAGGAUUGGAUGAUACAUGGCUAUUCCGCCCUUCCCCUAUACCCUCAAACCUGGCUCGUUUGUCACAGCCCCUGGGAACUUGACCAGUGUGGGUCAGAGGAUGUCUCUAGUACCUGGUGCCUAAUAGCACCUGCCUAACUAAUAUAAGGCCAGAAGGAGCCAGGAUCAAACAGCUGUCUGGGUCUGCCUCCACACCUACGAUUCUGCUGCCUCCUUCCUGUGCAAUAAAAUGGAGGCCAGCCUGAGCUACAAUGAGACCAGGACUCAAAACUAAAAGAAACAGAACAAAACUAAAAAGAAAACAAACAACAAAAAAAAAAACACCCAAACAACAAAACCUGCAUUCUAUGUAUCUUCCUGAAGGUCCCGUUCCCCAUACCCCACCUUACCUGAAUCCAAGUUAAUGCUCCUCCUGCCUGUCGUGGUAGACAGGCCAUCAGAGUCAGUUGGGAGGACCUCACUCCCCAGAAGAACUCCAGGAAAGAAAGUAAAUAGGAUGGCAGGCAGGGCAAGCUCCAUGAUACACCUGCUGGGCCAAACACUCCAGGAAGAAGAAGACGGACUGCAGCUCUGCUGUAGUUUCAGGACUUGCCCUGGGGUGGGGCUGAGCCUCCACACCUGCCCUGCAGCCUUGGGAGAGGCCUCGCAUGCCUACUGUCCCUGGGCACAGAGACUCUGGCUUCCCUACAUGCUUCAUGCUCUGGGGUCCUCUGGUCCUCCCCUUCCUGAUCCAGGAGCCACAACAUCCACGACCCUCAACUUUCAUUGAUGCAGGAUCAUUGUGUAGUAUGCCUGGCACUUGCAUUAACCACAAUGGCACCCUUGGGAGCCUUCAUGUCCAUCACUGUCCACCAGAGGGCAGCCAUGGGCCUAGCUCUAGGCUGAAGGGCAGGCCAGCACCGGGCUGGAGCAGGGGCAUGUGGGCACCCUCAGCCCCUGUGGUGUUUGUGUUCUCUAGAACCUUCUCUUCCGUCGGCCACCCUUCACUCAGUCUCUAGGCAACUCCUUUCAAAAAGGAUCGUCGUUCCCAGAAAGGCUCACUGGCCUUCAAACACCCAGAUGCCCCCACUGAAAUGGAAACUGUACACAGUAAUUAUUACUUCACCAGCUGCACUGUGACUUUAAUCACUGUAGAAUAACAUUAAGCUUUAGUCCCAGACCCCAUCUUAUCCAAUAUUAAAGUUUCCGCAUCCAUUUCC